GGAAGAGAUGACCCAGCUGUAAGAGGUAGGGCAGCCCAGCUCCAGAGGGAACUUGUCCCACAUCUGAGAGAAGCCACGAGAGACCCAAAGAAGCAGAACCUAACUCUGGAUCUAUAAGAAACUGAAAAGGGCGAAGCUCAGCUGCUGGGGGGCUUAGCCGAGGAUCCUCACAAGGGUGGACGCCAGCCCUGGGAACCCAGGUUGUACAGCACAAGGAAAAAGGAUGCUACAAGACCACCCCUCCCAUUCUAAACGGAGGCAGGCGAGAAUGGGACUCCAGCCCUGGGAACGAAUCCCCUCGAAGCUUCUCCCAGCACGCUCUCCCCACGCAGCUGUGGCAGAUGUGCAGCGUGCAUUCCAGGGUUGACGACUCGGCUGCCCUCGGGGAAGUGGAAACUGCUCGCCUCGCCCAUUCCGAAAGCAUCC
rnacentral:lncRNA from 1 species